UACGAAGGGGGGCUAGCGUUGCUCGGAAUUACUGGGCGUAAAGGGCGCGUAGGCGGAUAGUUUAGUCAGAGGUGAAAGCCCAGGGCUCAACCUUGGAACUGCCUUUGAUACUGGGGAUCUCGAGUCCGGGAGAGGUGAGUGGAACUGCGAGUGUAGAGGUGAAAUUCGUAGAUAUUCGCAAGAACACCAGUGGCGAAGGCGGCUCACUGGCCCGGAACUGACGCUGAGGAGCGAAAGCGUGGGGAGCAAACAGG
rnacentral:rRNA from 1 species